rnacentral:rRNA from 1 species
AUUGAACGCUGGCGGCAUGCUUUACACAUGCAAGUCGAACGGUAACAGGCCGCAAGGUGCUGACGAGUGGCGAACGGGUGAGUAAUGCAUCGGAACGUGCCCAGUCGUGGGGGAUAACGCAGCGAAAGUUGCGCUAAUACCGCAUACGAUCUAUGGAUGAAAGCGGGGGACCGUAAGGCCUCGCGCGAUUGGAGCGGCCGAUGUCAGAUUAGGUAGUUGGUGGGGUAAAGGCUCACCAAGCCGACGAUCUGUAGCUGGUCUGAGAGGACGACCAGCCACACUGGGACUGAGACACGGCCCAGACGCCUACGGGAGGCAGCAGUGGGGAAUGUUGGACAAUGGGCGCAAGCCUGAUCCAGCAAUGCCGCGUGCAGGAAGAAGGCCUUCGGGUUGUAAACUGCUUUUGUACGGAACGAAACGGUCCUGGUUAAUACCCGGGGCUAAUGACGGUACCGUAAGAAUAAGCACCGGCUAACUACGUGCCAGCAGCCGCGGUAAAAC